rfam:Phlebia centrifuga strain FBCC195 PHLCENscaffold_1175, whole genome shotgun sequence.
GACUCUAUAGCUCAGUGGUUAGAGCAUGCGAUUGCAGCUUGUCUUAAUAUCGCAGGGUCGCGUGUUCAAAUCACGCUAGGGUCU